rnacentral:rRNA from 1 species
UACGAAGGUCCCGAGCGUUGUUCGGAAUCACUGGGCGUAAAGGGCGCGUAGGCGGCCUAGCAAGUCAGGCGUGAAAUCCCGGGGCUUAACCCCGGAACUGCGCUUGAAACUGCAAGGCUUGAGUCUCGGAGAGGAUGGUGGAAUUCCUAGUGUAGAGGUGAAAUUCGUAGAUAUUAGGAGGAACACCGAUGGCGAAGGCAGCCAUCUGGACGAGUACUGACGCUGAGGCGCGAAAGCGUGGGGAGCAAACAGG